rnacentral:tRNA from 1 species
GGGCGAUUAGCUCAGCUGGUUAGAGCGCACGGUUCACAUCCGUGAGGUCGUUGGUUCAAAUCCAUCAUCGCCCACCA